rnacentral:rRNA from 1 species
CGCACGGUAAACGAUGGAUGCCCGCUGUGUGCCCCUGGGGUACGUGGCCAAGCGAAAGCGUUAAGCAUCCCACCUGGGGAGUACGCCGGCAACGGUGAAACUCAAAGGAAUUGACGGGGGCCCGCACAAGCGGAGGAACAUGUGGUUUAAUUCGAUGAUACGCGAGGAACCUUACCCGGGAUUGAACGUAAGUGGAAUAACGUCAAAAGAUGUUAGCUAGCAAUAGCCACUUACGAGGUGC